CCUACGGGAGGCAGCAGUGGGGAAUAUUGCGCAAUGGGCGAAAGCCUGACGCAGCGACGCCGCGUGAGGGAUGAAGGUCUUCGGAUCGUAAACCUCUGUCAGCAGGGAAGAACGGUCACUGUGCUAAUCAGCAGUGAAUUGACGGUACCUGCAAAGGAAGCACCGGCUAACUCCGUGCCAGCUGCCGCGGUAAUACGGAGGGUGCGAGCGUUAAUCGGAAUUACUGGGCGGAAAGCGCUCGUAGGCGGUAUGUCAAGGCAAGGGUGAAAUCCCCGCGCUCAACGUGGGAACUGCCUUUGAAACUGGCAAACUUGAGUGUGUGAGAGGAUAGUGGAAUUCCAGGUGUAGGAGUGAAAUCCGUAGAUAUCUGGAGGAACAGCAGUGGCGAAGGCGACUAUCUGGCACAUAACUGACGCUGAGGAGCGAAAGCGUGGGUAGCAAACAGGAUUAGAUACCCUGGUAGUC
rnacentral:rRNA from 1 species